rnacentral:rRNA from 1 species
AUUGAACGCUGGCGGCAUGCCUUACACAUGCAAGUCGAACGGCAGCACGGGUGCUUGCACCUGGUGGCGAGUGGCGAACGGGUGAGUAAUACAUCGGAACAUGUCCUGUAGUGGGGGAUAGCCCGGCGAAAGCCGGAUUAAUACCGCAUACGAUCUACGGAUGAAAGCGGGGGACCUUCGGGCCUCGCGCUAUAGGGUUGGCCGAUGGCUGAUUAGCUAGUUGGUGGGGUAAAGGCCUACCAAGGCGACGAUCAGUAGCUGGUCUGAGAGGACGACCAGCCAAACUGGGACUGAGACACGGCCCAGACUCCUACGGGAGGCAGCAGUGGGGAAUUUUGGACAAUGGGCGAAAGCCUGAUCCAGCAAUGCCGCGUGUGUGAAGAAGGCCUUCGGGUUGUAAAGCACUUUUGUCCGGAAAGAAAUCCUUGGCCCUAAUACGGUCGGGGGAUGACGGUACCGGAAGAAUAAGCACCGGCUAACUACGUG